UACAGUAAUCUCCGGAAUCUAUUCUUCUGGGUUUCUUGUAUCUUCCCUGAGUCUUAGUUGGGCUUAAAAUAAAGACAAGAGAGUUGAUGUGGUACAACCAGAUAGUGACCUAACACAGAGUUGUUGGGCAAGAUAUUAAAUACAGUCAAGCUGGAUUUGGAGUCAUACUGCUCAGGUUUCAACAUUAGCAUCAAAUGGGCGAUCUUGAGUAAGCUCUGAGUCCUGGCUGGGAGUCCACAAGAUUCAAUUCCACUGUUGCUGUGAAGGAAACAUGUCCUUUGGUUUCCAUGAUCCAUGCGAAAGAGAAUUUCAUUAGCCAUUCUUCUCUUCCAAGAAGCCUGUGGAAACUAGAGGAGACAUCAAGAGACUGCAGCAAAAUGGGGCAUUUGUGCAGAAGAUGUGAGAGAAGACCCAACACCCUAGCCUUAUGACACCCAUUUGAGGUCCACAAGGAUGAAAUAGCUGCCCUGGGAUUGUGGAACGCUCCUUUGCAUGCUUUCUAAAACUUUUGUUUGUUUAUCCUUCACACAUGGGUCUGCUGCUGAGGCAGACGGAGUGGGGUUCUUACUUUUCUCUGUUGGUGUGUUAAAUGUGGAGACAUUUCAUGUUUAUUAUUGUUAAAAAUGUUUCAGCUAAACUGAAGAAAUACAUUGAGAUGAAUUACUCUCAGGGGACUGAGUUCAGACAUUUCACAACAAAUAAAAUAAUUGCCUUUAAUGUGAGCC